rnacentral:rRNA from 1 species
GACGAACGCUGGCGGCAUGCUUAACACAUGCAAGUCAAAUUGAAUUUGGUUUUUUAUUUUCGGUUUCGGUGGCGGACGGGUACGUAACGCGUAAAGAACUUGAACCUCCGCUUGAGACAACAUUUGGAGACGGAUACUACUACUUAUUCUUCUUAUAAUCUAGCCUCGUCAUCUUAUGAAAGCUAUAAGGGCUGUGUGAGAGUUUUGUGUCACAUUAGCGGGUUGUUGAGGUAAAGGGUCACCAAGGCGAUGAUGGGUCGCCGGCCUGAGAGGGUGAUCGGCCACAAGGGGACUGAGAGACGGCACUUACGACUACGGGAGGCAGCAGGAGGGAAUAUUGGACAAAGGACCAAGAGUCGGAGCCAGCAAUUCUGUGGGAACGAUGAAGUUUUUCGGAAUGUAAAGUGCUUUCAGUUGGGAAGAAAGAAAUGACGGUACCAACAGAAGAAGCGACGGCUAAAUACGUG